CUCUCUCUCUCUCUCUCUCUCUCUCUCUCUCUCUCUGUCCUCUUUCUGUCGUUCCAUCGCUGUCACGACCACCACGUCAUACACGCGCGCGUCGCGUCACGUGCUGCAUGCGCGUGACACUCAGCACGUCACGACGUCAGAGCGCGCCUCCUCGACGAAUCUUCCUCUCGAGAGAGCCCCUCGUACCGAGGAUCGUGGUUGGUGGAGAAAUUCCGCGUUCCACGACGAGCCCCCUACCGUGUCCAGUCGUUCGUCAGAAUCGCUCGCUCGCCGUGUCCUCGCGGACUCUCGGGGAUGGACGACGCGUUUAGUACACGAUGAUACUUUCUCGGGCAGGCUCGACGCGCACCGACUGUGACCUGUUUCUCGCUAUGGUACGCAUCGACGAACCUGAAGGUGACGCGAAGCGGUCGAGAGUAUCGCCGACGGUGUGUAGAUGAUAGAGUCGCGCGCGUGUCGCAGGCAGGCAGGCAGGUAAUCGCAGGCGAUGGUCGCGCGGCGAUGGGGGUGAGAGCGUGCGUGCCGGGGCGAAACGUCGAGGGAAAUCGCUAGCGCGACGUUUUCUCGCUCGCGGGACGAUCGCCGUUCUCUCGUUCUCUCGAGGCUACGACGGCGCGAGCGGCUCUCGUCGGAAAGUCGGAAAGUCGGAAAGUUUGACGCUUACGCGCCAGCGGAAACUUCUUCCCGCGCUCGUUGUCGUCCUCGACGACGACGGUCGUGUCUCGGGGUGACGUGAUUCCGCCCCGAGAAGCGUUUCGUGAUCGAGAGCGAGCGAUGUGUGUGCUGCGUUCGACGCGCGAAUCGCUCUCUCCUCCUCCGGCGGCAAACUUUCCCGGGGGUCUCGGCAAUCCCGCGCGGAUUGCACGGGACUCGAGGAGUCAUUAGAGCGUUAUCAUCGCUGAUCCGGAUCGCCCAACUCUCGGGCCGUGUCGCUCGACGGCCGUCGAUAAUUCGCGCGGGGGAUCGACCGAUAUCGCUCGUCUCGUCGGUUUAAUAACCAGAUCGCGGCCGGUGAUUGAUGGUCCUCGCUUUCCGGACGAGUCCUCCGUGUAUGACCGUCCACGUGAGUCGUGGCGAUCGAAAAACCGACGCUUUUUCGAUUAUUACGUACUUCUAUCACCAUGAAUUCGUCGACGUAUUACCGGACAGAUUGAGCUCAUCCUGGGGAGAUACGUCGGAUAUAUCGGUAGGGUGUAUUGUGCUGACUGAGACGUGUCCGGACGGACGGACGAACCGACAACAAACGGACUGACGGGAGAUUCCGCUCCUCUCGAGUGUGUGACACCGAGCGUCGAAGGGUGUCGUCGCUCGGAGCGAUCCCGACUGCUUUUUCCGCGCGACUCGCCAGUGUAACUCGCGCGAUUCCUCGCGCGUAAGCGGAGUGACUUGGCCGUUUGGUGCGUUCGCGUUUAGGUGAUUCGCGGCGCGGAGUGUGUUUCGGACAAUACAGAUUAUUCCGGGCACGAGAGGACCGGAUGCUGCGAACGCGGCCGGCAGGACCGCGCGUAGAUUUACACGACACGCUCGGCUGAAGGGAGAGCCCGGCCGUUCGCUGAAAGUACAGAGCAAACGUCUAUGUGAUUUUACGUGUACAAGGUACACUUACUUCAAUUUAAGUACACAAAGUGCAAUAAAGUGGAGCCGGAAGGAGCAGGCUUCUGGUUACAAGGACCGUCGACCAUUUUGUUGUCGCGACGUGUUCGCCGCGAAUGUUGCGCGAAGUAAUUGUCGGUGUUGCAUUAAUUAUUACGUGUCUUCGACCGAGUCGUACGUCGCGAGUGUCAGUGAUAUUGCCCGAACGAAACAGCCGGGGUAACCAGGAUGCAGGAAGGACAGCACCGAGGAAGCAGGGCGGACUGAGACGCGGACAACGACGCAUCAUGUGUCUUCAGAUCCCCCGAAUCGGAUUACACCGCUCGUGGCCGCCGCAUUUUUAAGGUAAGACUUAGCUUAAAAUCGUGCAUGCAAAAUCUUUUGCAUUUAAAAUUCCGACGCGAUUGCAUCGAAAACGAAGGAACGAAGGAAAAAGAUGCGACCGCGCGCGC
rnacentral:lncRNA from 1 species